UUCAUGCUUCAGCUUCUCCCAUCGCUAAAACCGAGACCAGUGCUUUGUAAAAUAAAGGGCGAUGGUGGUGGUGGCUUACAGCUUUGGAGGCUGAAAGUCCUAGCUCAGGUGAGACCCUUGGGUGACCUCAAAACAGUCUUUCCUUCUUAAAGGAGUCCCUGCAAAGGAAUAGGCACAUGGAAAUCUUAAUGGGUAUCCAGGAGAGUGCUAAUGGGUCCUAUGACAAUUUUUAUUGCUGUCAUGAAUGGAAAGAUUAUGUACAGACAGAAUACUUACCGCCAAGGUGAUUUGAGAUGUCAAUUACAACUCUUGCUCCAUAA
rnacentral:lncRNA from 1 species